CAAAUGCAUGAAUCUAUGGACACCAUACCUAUUCAAACCACAAGAGGGGAAACUAUAAACAAAAGGAAUUUUAAACCUGUAUGGAGGAGGGGGAGGGGAGGGAAUGGAGGUUCAUGGAUAGGAAACCGGGAAGCAAGCAGAAUAACGGUUGAAAUACAUUUACUUUGAAGCUUGGAAUAAAGAACUUUGUUGGAAUGCAAAAAAAAAAGAAGAAGAAGAAGAAAAAGCCCUCCCAGCCUGAACCAUUGUCCUGAGCAAACCUUGGGCACUGUCUUUGAACACAGUCCCACAACACCCAGAGGAAAUCCAAUUUCUAGGAGCUCUAACAUGCCCAGGACCAGAGGUAACCGUCAGACUGAGCAUGGGGACUCCAAUGGAAGAAUUAGGGGAAGGACUAAAGAAGCUGAAGAUCUUUGCAAACCCAUAGGAAGAACAACAAUAUCAACCAACCAGAAUCCCCAGAGCUCCCAGGGACUCAACCACCAACCAAAGAGUACAAAUGGAGAGAUUCAUGGCUCUAGCCAUAUAUGUAGCAGAGGAUGGCAUUGUUUGGCAUCAAUAGGAGAAGCUCUUAAUCCUGUGAAGGCUCAUUUCCCCUGUGUAUGGGAAUGGCAGGGUGCUGAGGUGGGAAUGAGUGGGUAGG